GGCGCCUUUCCAGGGAGUGCAGAUUAAAAUCCGAGCAAGCCGACAGCUCCAGGCUCGCCCCCGGCCCCCCGGCUUUCUGUGUUGCGCGUGCCAGUGUUGGGACCCCAACUUUCAAACGGGAGAGACCCAAGGGCGCCUUUAGCUAGAAUUGGGGGGGGGGAUUUUCCUUCCCACGCCUGCAACCGCCCCCCCCCAGUGUUCCCUUCGCUGCUGGCGGAAGCCCCGAGCCUGGUUCAUCUGCCGAGGCCGGGGCGGAAAGAGGCUGGGGGGUGAAUCGGGCUGCGAAUGUCUCGGCCCGAGGGGAGCUGCUGCGAAGCCGGGCUCCAGAGGCGCUUCAGUCCCAGCGAAGGGAAGGCGGGGGCUGGCGCUGAGCCCCCCCCCCACGGGCAGGAGAACUUCCCAUCAAACACAUCAAUUAGAAACCCCCCCCCGGGUACUUCACAGGGGGAGAAAACCCAGCCCGGUUUCUUCUGGCUCCCCCCAAACGCGUUUCUGAUCCUGACCGGAUUCUCCUCAGCAGUAGGAGCGAGGGGGAACCGGAACCGAAAAGGACAUUAUAGACAGAUCCGUGGGUGACCCGGGGAACGAUUACCUUGGAUGCCACUUCUCUGUCUCCUCCUUUGAAAAUAAUGUGGCCCCAUAGAAACAGCGUUAUCUCUAUCGGCCUAUGAUCGGGAAUAGAAUCUGAGCUAACUCCCCCCCCCACCCCGCAUCGCGUCUCUUCCCCCCCUCCCCUGAAGAAUCCCAAAUCCGUAAAUCUGGUUAAGGAAGGCUCGAGAGGCCCGGGCUGCUAUUCCGUCGGACAUGGACAUAGGCAUGGGCAUGGGAGUCCUUUGGAGGUUGGCACAAACGCUAACAGACGCGGGCCGGGGAGGGGAAGCGCCCGGCCAGGCUUUGGAAUCGCUCUCGCUGAUCAAGGUUUGUUAUCAGUGAAACCCACGCGCGUUCGCCCUCGGAAUAAAGUGACUUUUAACGGGCAGGACGCUGGAAUCCCAGCUCGCUCGGGACAAAGGGGGCUGGGUUACCUUCCAGAGAGGGGAAUCUGCUGGGGCGGCUGGAACCAACUUUCCAACCCUCCGGUCUGGCCAAUGUCUCUCUCGCCGAGCGCGGCUGCCAGGUUUCUGCAGAUGUCAAUUACCGGCGAAUCCUGCCGGAGAAGCUGCACGUGUGUUUAUAACCGACAUCGCGGGGCUUCACCGAGCACAACACGGAUGUUUCUGUCAACCUCGGGGAGCGCAAAAAUCCCGCGCCUCGCAAGUGAAACGUGCCGGGCAUGUUACCGGCUGAAGCAGGGGCCUGUGACUUUGGGGAACGAGCAAAUCGGCUCGGUAGCGAGCGAAGGAACCUCCGGAGCUAAGGCUGGUGAGAUGAGCCGCGACAAGGGGAGGCAGGCGCUGGAGGAGGCGGCGGCGGGCAGGGUUGGGUCGUUUGCUUUUGAAAUGCUCCGUGUAAGACACAGAGAAGAGCGGACCCAUGGGUUUGGGGUUUGAACCGGUGUGAGGCGGGGAUCGGCGGUCCGGGGAGGAGGGAGAUCCAGUGAUCCGCGGGUUCAAAUGUCAAAAAAGAGUGAAAAUGUCUCAAUCUACCUCC